GAACCCUUUUUUUGACUGCUUUAAAUGAAAUGACAGAGUCAAACUAGUGACCAUGACAACAGUUGAAUCAUGUCUACUAGUAAUUAAUUAUUCUCCAAAUUUGUUUUAAUUAAGAUUACCCUCACUAAUCACUAAUCACUAAUCAGUGUCUUAAAAAAGGCCAUAAAGAGAGAUCACUCUUUAUGAUUCUUAGCUUCUUGAUGAAUUAAAGAAGAUAUUCUUGGUACAUGAUCAAAGCUUUUUUCUGCAGCAAGACAAAUCAGUACACCGUACACAAAUACACACACACACCCAUCGACGAAACGACGAUUGAGAGAUCCUGCUGUAAACUUUAUUCGGUGUAGCAUAAAUCUGACAACAUCGAAACUGUGUUCAGUAACACACAAAAACCACACAUCACACACCCAUGUUGGUGGAGUGUGCGUCUCGAUGAAAUGGCGAUCGACAGAUCGCGCUGUAGACUUCACCCAGUGUAGCAUAGAUUCGACGACAAUCAAAAAUCAAUAUACGUACAUAUCUUCCGAUUUAGGAUUAGAAACGGCUAGCGCCAACUAACCGUUGUAAUUGAAUGCUAGAUCUAUCUUUCCCAAAGUUGUUUCAAAUAAGGCCCCACUCCUUUUUUUUUGAACUUAAUCAUUUUCACACUAUUCCCAUUUCUUUUGCCUCUCUUUCAUCUCCCUUAAUCACAUGCCCAAUAGCGACACUUGUUUGCUAACUUAGGUACAAACAAAUAUGGCACCAUGUGUAUAAUAAUCGUCUUUUCCCAACUUAAUCGACGAACUAAUCUUUCUUCGUAAUCGUCUCGUCGAAAAAAGAAAAAAAAAUGAAUUCUUUCGCCUCAUCGUCGUACAUUGUGUCGAUUCUCCUCGUAUACGCAUUCUCACCUUCGAUAUCGUCAAGUUCAUCUCUCACCAUCUCGAUUUUCGACACGAUCCGGCAUCCGGAUCCAUACAAGAGGCUCACGCACUUGGCUACAACUUCGAUAGCAAGAGCCCAACAUAUCAAGAAUCCACAAAAUGCCCCUACCUCCACCACCACACCUUUAUCCCCGUUCAGUGGAGCUUACUCGAUUUCGCUCGGCUUCGGUACACCACCGCAAAUCAUACCCUUUGUUAUGGACACCGGCAGCAGCUUUUCUUGGUUUCCUUGUACCAAAAGAUACCUCUGCAGAAACUGCAGCUCCGUUUCGACGAAAAGCAUUUCGUCGUUUAUACCUAAGCAAUCAUCGUCGGCGAAAGUUGUCGGGUGCGCUAACCCCAAAUGCGGUUGGGUUCACAAAUCAUUCGAUCCAAACUCGAGUUGUCAAGAUUGUCAGUUGACUAAAACAAACUGCACGCAAAUUUGUCCACCGUAUAUAAUUCUCUACGGAUUAGGCUCCACGGGUGGGAUAGCUAUGGCGGAAACUCUCACGAUGCCGCACGAGAAAAUCGAAGAUUUUCUCGUGGGCUGCUCCGUUUUCUCGUCGAAUCAGCCCGCGGGUGUCGCGGGGUUCGGUCGGGGAAACUCGUCGUUGCCGAGCCAAUUAGGGCUCAAGAAAUUCUCCUACUGCUUGAUUUCGCACAAAUUUGAUAACACUGAAAAAAGCAGCUUCUUGUUGAUGGAUGCCGAAUCGGAUUCCGAUUCAAAGACGGAGAAUUUCAGCUACACGCCGAUGCUGAAGAAUCCGGUGGGGUCGGAAAACAGCGCAUUAUCGGAUUACUACUACGUUGGUCUGAGGAAAAUUCCGUUCGGAGGGAAGAAAGUUGAAAUUUGCACAAAGAUUUGUCGCCGGAUUCUAACGGCGACGUCGGGACCAUCGUCGAUUCAGGGACGACGUUUACUUACAUGAACCAGGCGGUGUUUGAUCUGGUGCCGUAUGCAUAUUCCGACCAGGUGAAAGAUUAUACAAGGCCGGAGGAUGUGGAGGCGAUUACAGGUCUGCGCCCGUGCUUUGACGUUGCCGGCCACGUGACUGUGAAAAUGCCUGAACUAAAACUCCAUUUCAAGGCCGGCGCGGAGAUGGCGCUGCCGCUGGAAAAUUACUUCAUUGCUGUGAGCGACGGUGGGAAGUCGUUUGUUUGUUUGACGGCGGUGACCGAUGAUACUUUGCUGGGCCCGGAGCUUGUCGGUGGCCCGUCGGUGAUUCUGGGUAAUUUCUUGAUGCAGAAUCUUCAUGUGGAAUUUGAUCUUAGGAAUGAACGGUUUGGAUUCAGGCAGCAGUAUUGCUCGUAAGAUGAAGAACUAGAUUUAAUGAUAAAAGAACACUAAUUUAUUAAAUGCUAUUUUCAUCUGCAAAAUGUUAAAUAUAUUUGAUUUCUUGAUUG